rnacentral:rRNA from 1 species
AGUUUGAUCCUGGCUCAGGAUGAACGCUAGCGACAGGCUUAACACAUGCAAGUCGAGGGGCAGCGGGGGUGAUGGCUUGCCAUCACCUGCCGGCGACCGGCGCACGGGUGAGUAACACGUAUGCAACCUGCCCGCCACAGGGGGAUAAGCGGAAGAGAUUCCGUCUAAUACCGCGUGACGCGGCGUCGGGGCAUCCCGGUGCCGCCAAAGGGAUUACCGGUGGCGGAUGGGCAUGCGGCGCAUUAGCUAGUCGGCGGGGUAACGGCCCACCGAGGCGACGAUGCGUAGGGGUUCUGAGAGGAAGGUCCCCCACACUGGUACUGAGACACGGACCAGACUCCUACGGGAGGCAGCAGUGAGGAAUAUUGGUCAAUGGGCGGGAGCCUGAACCAGCCAAGUCGCGUGAGGGAUGACGGUCCUACGGAUUGUAAACCUCUUUUGCCGGGGAGCAAGCGUGCGUUCGUGAACGCGCGUCGAGAGUACCCGGAGAAAAAGCAUCGGCUAACUCCGUGCCAGCAGCCGCGGUAAUACGGAGGAUGCGAGCGUUAUCCGGAUUUAUUGGGUUUAAAGGGUGCGUAGGCGGGAUGCCAAGUCAGCGGUAAAAAUGCGGUGCUCAACGCCGUCGAGCCGUUGAAACUGGCGUUCUUGAGUGGGCGAGAAGUAUGCGGAAUGCGUGGUGUAGCGGUGAAAUGCAUAGAUAUCACGCAGAACUCCGAUUGCGAAGGCAGCAUACCGGCGCCCUACUGACGCUGAGGCACGAAAGCGUGGGUAUCGAACAGGAUUAGAUACCCUGGUAGUCCACGCAGUAAACGAUGAAUGCUAACUGUCCGGUGCGAGUGAGCGCUGGGCGGUACAGCGAAAGCGUUAAGCAUUCCACCUGGGGAGUACGCCGGCAACGGUGAAACUCAAAGGAAUUGACGGGGGCCCGCACAAGCGGAGGAACAUGUGGUUUAAUUCGAUGAUACGCGAGGAACCUUACCCGGGCUCAAACGCAGGAUGACGGGUCCCGAAAGGGGCCUUUCUUCGGACAUUCUGCGAGGUGCUGCAUGGUUGUCGUCAGCUCGUGCCGUGAGGUGUCGGCUUAAGUGCCAUAACGAGCGCAACCCCUGUCCACAGUUGCCAGCAGGUAAAGCUGGGGACUCUGUGGAGACUGCCGGCGCAAGCUGCGAGGAAGGCAGGGAUGACGUCAAAUCAUCAUGCCCUUAUGGCCUGGGCUACACACGUACUACAAUGGCGGCUACAAAGAGCAGCGAGACAGGGAUGUCGAGCGAAUCUCAUAAAAGCCGUCCCAGUUCGGAUUGGAGGCUGCAACCCGCCUCCAUGAAGUUGGAAUCGCUAGUAAUCGCGGAUCAGCAUGCCGCGGUGAAUACGUUCCCGGGUCUUGCACUCACCGCCCGUCAAG